CAUUUGUACUUGUAGCUUUUCCAGUUCAAUAGAACUAGAGGAUCAGCCUCUGCUCCACCAUCUGGGCAGGAGAAAUAAAACCAAAGUUUCCUGGUGCCAGCCUCAGAGCUGGAUCCCAAUCAUAUGGGUGGCAGAGAUGAAGCAGAAGAGGCCUCCCCAGCUCCAGCUAAGAUCAUGGAGAUGGACGGAAGGUGCGAGUGCAUGCGGGCCCGAGAAUUUGGAAGACUGAAAGUGCCUGGUGGUUUAAGCGAAAGUGAAUUCUUCCCUGAGCACUGAUAGGAUUGCCCACGAGAAGAAAUCAUCUCUUCAGCCCUCUCGUCCUCCACAGGAACAGAAGGACACGUCCCAAGUGGCGAGCUGUGCAAGGCUGCAGACACUCUGCCAUGUAAGAGGUACCUUUCGCCUUCCACCAUGAUUGUGAGGCCUCCCCAGCCACUUGGAACUGGCAGGUGCAGAGGAUCCAGCAUGUUAUUCUGAAAUCCCAGAAGAUGCUGAAGCUGCUAAAUAGAAGGAGGCUGGAUCCCUGAAUGUCUUCAUGGAGCAGAACGUUCUCCUCACUCUGGUCUGCUUGAACCAGAAUGACCUGAGCAAGAAAUAAGCCUUAAUUGUAUUUGACCAUUAGAAUUUUGGUGAUAAGUCCAUGUUGAUUAAUACAAAGGGAUUCUGUAAAGGCUCUUCUCUCUAUUGAAAAAGGCUCUUCUCUCUAUUGAAAAAAAGUUGCCCAAGGAGUGAAGGGAGAGAUAUUUUCUAUAAUUAAGAUUGUCAUAUUCACAUAGUACAUAGAACAACUACAGCACCUUUCAGUCAUAUGGGGUUCAACAGAAAGAGGAAACAUUUCCUGCUGUUGAAUUAACCAAACUGGAGUUGUUAUAUAAUAUAGUAAAAUUUCCUCAAUCUUUCAGCCACAUUUAGUUCAGUAAUCUAUUAUUUCUGGUUAAAAGCAUACCAUUUGAUACACAAUCCAAACCCAAUUCUUAAUAACCUGUAUCCACCGUAUCUUACCACAUCCCGAAUCAUCUAAUACUCAACCACCUAGUUUCUAUGAUCCACUUACAUCAAACAUAUUCAUGUUUGGAAAAUUGAGCCAGCGUCUACUGCCUUAUCAGCUAAUGCAUAACAAUUUACUUUUUCUGUGCUCUAUAAUAAUGCAAGUCUGCUUGGAAAGAUAACACAUUAAGGGGUUAUCAGACCCUAACACCUUGAUAUAGAUGAGUUUAUCAGAUCCUCUGUUUAACCACUUUCGAAUCCUUGGCCAGUUCUCUACAUUUCAUGAAGAGUUAGCAUAACCAGACCAGGAGAUAUUAUCUUCAGGAUGUGGUCAGUUGUAGAAAAGAUAGCUCUGAGGAUCUCUUUCCAGGGAAAAGACAUGUGGAUUGCUCCAAAGAUCCUCUUUCUCAGGAAAAUGCACAUGCUACAGAAAGGCUACAGAAAAUAAAAGCACUCCCUCAUUAACAUA